rnacentral:lncRNA from 1 species
CCCAUUGCUGCAUCCCCUCCCUGUCCCCGCAGGCCAAGACCGUGAUCCAGGCCGAGAUCGACGCCGCGGGCGAGCUCAUCGACUUCUUCCGCUUCAACGCCAAGUACGCGCUGGAGCUGGAGCAGAGCCAGCCCCUGAGCGUGGACAUCAGCACCAACUCCAUGGUCUACCGGGGGCUGGAGGGCUUUGUGGCUGCCGUGUCCCCCUUCAACUUCACGGCCAUCGGCGGCAACCUGGCAGGGGCUCCGGCGCUGAUGCUGGCUUUGGGAUCUGGGAAUUACCACAGCAGGGUUUGAUUCCUACCUGGGCUCGGGGUGCUGUCGGGACAUGACAGUGUAACCAGUUUGGAGCUGCCCACAUUCCUCUGGGAUGACACUUCUGGGUGCAGUGGGUGUGUUAGGGGCAUGGCUCUGCCAUUUAGCUCUCAACUGGCAGAUAGGAGAGCCCAGAAAGUCUGAAAAAAUAUAUAUUAAAA